rnacentral:rRNA from 1 species
GAUGAACGCUGGCGGCGUGCUUAACACAUGCAAGUCGAACGGAAAGGCCCAGCUUUUGUUGGGUGCUCGAGUGGCGAACGGGUGAGUAACACGUGGGUAAUCUGCCCUUGACUUCGGGAUAACCCUAGGAAACUGGGGCUAAUACCGGAUAGGAGCUCUUGCUGCAUGGUGUGGGUUGGAGAGUUUUGGCGGUUGGGGAAGGACUCGCGGCUUAUCCGCUUGUUGGUGGGGUAGGGGCUUACCAAGGCUUUGACGGGUAGCCGGCCUGAGAGGGUGACCGGCCACAUUGGGACUGAGAUACGGCCCAGACUCCUACGGGAGGCAGCAGUGGGGAUUAUUGCACAAGGGGCGGAAGCCUGAUGCAGCAACGCCGCGUGCGGGAUGACGGCCUUCGGGUUGUAAACCGCUUUCGCCGGUGACGAGGCGUGAGUGACGGUAAUGGGUAAAGAAGCACCGGCUAACUACGUG